rnacentral:rRNA from 1 species
CUGGGUCGGUCGGGCUGGGGUGCGAAGCGGGGCUGGGCUCGAGCCGCGGCUGGGGGAGCAGUCGCUCCGUCGCCCUCCUCUCUCCGCCGCUGGAAGCGCGGUGUGCGGCCCGUCUCGCGGGGCCCAUGUCCGCGGCGCCUCGUGCGUCGCGUGGCGUGGGUUUUCGCGGGGCGGUGUCCGUCGCCGUGUGGAAGGCGGGCCGGUGGAGGGGAUCGGGUACGGCGGUUGGCGGCGGCGACUCUGGACGCGGCGCCGGGCCCUUCUCGCGGAUCUCCCCAGCUACGGCCGCGCUGGGCCCCGUUCGCGCGGGGUCCUGGCGGGUCGCCUCGUGGCGCCUAGCAGCUGACUUAG